UUAUAUUGCAUGGAGUUUCAGAGAUAUCAGUGGAAGAUGUAUCAGAGUUAUUUUACGCUCAUAGUUCUGGUUUCAUAUGUACAUGGUCAGUCACUGACCUCCUCUGGCCCUGAUGUGAAGAAACCUGGAGAAACAGUCAAACUGUCCUGUCAGGUUACUGGACUCUCCCUUAGCUGGUUGUAUUGGAUCCGUCAGAAACCACACAGUGGACUGGAAUGGAUUGGGCGAAUCGACAGUGGCACUGGCACUAUUUAUGCUCAGUCUCUACAGGGUCAGUUCGCCAUCACUAAAGACACCAGCAAAAACAUGGUGUAUUUGCAGAUAAACAGCCUGAAGACUGAGGACACAGCUGUGUAUUACUGUGCAAGAGAGUCACAGUUAGACAAAAGACUGCAGCGCUCAACAAAAACAUGUUUUCUGUUUAUCAAGUACAGUCAAAUAUGA